CCUACGGGUGGCAGCAGUGGGGAAUAUUGGACAAUGGGCGAAAGCCUGAUCCAGCCAUGCCGCGUAUGUGAAGAAGGCCUUCGGGUUGUAAAGCACUUUCAGUGGGGAAGAAAGCCUUGGGGCUAAUACCCUCGAGGAAGGACAUCACCCACAGAAGAAGCACCGGCUAACUCCGUGCCAGCAGCCGCGGUAAUACGGAGGGUGCGAGCGUUAAUCGGAAUUACUGGGCGUAAAGCGCGCGUAGGCGGUCUGAUAAGCCGGUUGUGAAAGCCCCGGGCUCAACCUGGGAACGGCAUCCGGAACUGUCAGGCUAGAGUGCAGGAGAGGAAGGUAGAAUUCCCGGUGUAGCGGUGAAAUGCGUAGAGAUCGGGAGGAAUACCAGUGGCGAAGGCGGCCUUCUGGACUGACACUGACGCUGAGGUGCGAAAGCGUGGGUAGCAAACAGGAUUAGAUACCCUUGUAGUC
rnacentral:rRNA from 1 species